GGGGAUAUGGUGUAGUCUGGCCUAUCAUCGGGGACUCCAAGUAAAUCCCUGGACCUGGGUUCGAAUCCCAGUAUCCCCA
rnacentral:tRNA from 1 species